rnacentral:rRNA from 1 species
CCUACGGGAGGCUGCAGUGGGGAAUAUUGGACAAUGGGCGAAAGCCUGAUCCAGCCAUGCCGCGUGUGUGAAGAAGGCCUUCGGGUUGUAAAGCACUUUCAGUGGGGAAGAAAGCCUUGGGGCUAAUACCCUCGAGGAAGGACAUCACCCACAGAAGAAGCACCGGCUAACUCCGUGCCAGCAGCCGCGGUAAUACGGAGGGUGCGAGCGUUAAUCGGAAUUACUGGGCGUAAAGCGCGCGUAGGCGGUCUGAUAAGCCGGUUGUGAAAGCCCCGGGCUCAACCUGGGAACGGCAUCCGGAACUGUCAGGCUAGAGUGCAGGAGAGGAAGGUAGAAUUCCCGGUGUAGCGGUGAAAUGCGUAGAGAUCGGGAGGAAUACCAGUGGCGAAGGCGGCCUUCUGGACUGACACUGACGCUGAGGUGCGAAAGCGUGGGUAGCAAACAGGAUUAGAUACCCCCUGUAGUC